rnacentral:misc_RNA from 1 species
GGGGAGGCGGAUCUGAGGGGGAAGAAGGUGUUCGUGCGGGCCGACCUCAACGUGCCGCUCGACGACGCCCAGAAGAUCACCGACGACACCCGCAUCCGCGCGUCCGUGCCCACUGUCAAGUUCCUCCUCGAGAAGGGCGCCAAGGUCAUCCUCGCCAGCCAUCUGGGCCGUCCGAAGGGUGUCACCCCCAAGUACAGCUUGAAGCCUCUUGUUCCACGCUUGUCUGAGCUACUUGGAGUCGAUGUUGUGAUGGCCAAUGAUUGCAUUGGUG